GUUUAAUCAACAAGUUUUAUCAACUUGUUUUAUCAACAAUUUAGAAGUCAUGCGAAUCCUUUGCACAAGACGCAAACAGUAUACUACAGUCUCUGUAUUCAAAGACCAAAUAUUCGUUCCAAACAACUGCAUUUUUCUCUUCCUCUGCUAAGGGCUACUACUUAUUUAAACUGAAAUUGCGAUUAAAGAUUAAGUAUGAGACAACAUUUCUUUCACUCCCACUCUAUCUGAAAAGAGCAGCUUCAAAGAAGGGGAGAGAAAAAUUCAUAGCAGUGUUUUCAAUAGGGCACAGUGAUCUGCUACAGAUAAGCAGCAGCCUUUUUUCCUUAUUCAAAUGUUAAGUUUUCCGAGGCAAAUAAUAUUUUUCCCCUAGCUGGUCAUUCAUUCAUCUACAGCUCCAUGCAAGUCCUUUGCAUGAGCAAGGUCGCCCUCACAGUUUCAUUUUGAUCAGAUGUUGCUUUGUGCUGUGGAUAUUGGAUUUUUUUUUUCCUUUUGGCAACAAAACAGCCUCUUAAGACCUUUUACAGUAAUUCUGUGCACCCGUCUUUCAUUAGGACUACAUUAUCUCAGAUCACUUCAUGUUUAUCAGAGCCAGCAGCCGAGGAUGUACUGCAGGAUCAAGUGGAACAGGCACCCACGCGCCAGCUCCACGCAGCACCGUGGUGCCAGGGCUGGGCCACAGCUUUUUUCUGCAUCCCUUCUCACCCCUGGCCUCGGUUCAAUCCUCUCGAUGCACCUGGUUAUCUCCAGGUUUACCUGGAAAUCACAGUGAGGUAGCACACAGAGUGAAGCUGUGUUCCAGGAGUAUUAUUCUCAGCCUGGUACAAACACAGAGCACACAUCCAGACCCCAGAGAGCCCGGGCUGAGAUGUUGGACAAGAGACAGCCGGCGGGGGGGGCACUGACGGGGCACCGCAGCUCAUUAUCGGCACCAAAUGGGGGCACCAGCUGUGAAUUCACUCCUUUCACCCUCUCUUUUAGGCUGCAAGUACAGAGAAGAGGACAACAGCCAGCAGGGGAAGGCAGCACGGCACAGAGGGGUCUGUCCCCAGUGGUGUUACAGCCAGGCAGGGAGACUGGCUGGAGAGGAGAGGAACCUAAAUUACACCUCAUAUGAAGCGGUGUCUACAGAAGCUUUGCCACACUUCUGCCGUGGGACACUUCUAUCACACACACAGAGGAAAUCAAGUCCACGCCUUCAGGGUUUCCAAUCAGCCUUAUCAGAGCCUCCUGUUUACCUCCCCAGAAAUAGCCCAGACAUCUGCAUACACGCUGUUCCUGCUCUGCCUGCAGCUGCAUUAAUGCCUGAAAAGGCUGUUCUCUCCACCUCACUGCACAGAGAAAACACCCCAGAGUAUCCUGUUCAGAGCCACUUCCUUACCCUACAUCCCAGUGGAUGCAGCUUCUGAAAGGAAGCAGAGUCGGCAAGGAUGGAGUGCUUUUGGGAAUCAUUCCCAGCAUAUGGAGACUGCAUUCUGCAGCAAGCGAGGGCAGUUCCCUCAGCAAGUGGAAAAUGGGCUUCACCUCCCUGUGGUCUCCCUGUGGUUUGCUUCCCUUGCGAUAUUAUUUUUGAAUAGCAGGCAGGAGCUCUGUGUUUCUUGUUCUGUUUAGUAAAUCCAAUAACCAAACCUGGUCCACUUCUGGGUGGUCCUCACGAAAUACCAGAAAACCACGCCAAGGCCAUGUGAUAUAAUAAUCAUAAGAAAUGCAGGGAUUGCUUUGACAGAUACCUCAAAAUCAGUUUUUCAAGAAAUGGGAUGUUUCAACCCAUGUGUCCAUUCCAUUUGUCAUUUUUGCUGUUGUUCCCCUAUUCCUUUUUCUUGUUCAGUGUCUGUUCUUCAUUUUGGUAAACCAGAAUUAACAGCCAGGAAAAUGAAGAUCACUGAUGCGCUGAUGCUUGACUUGCUCUUAGGCUGGGAGACGUUACACCACGCAGAAUGCCUUCAGGUUAAAGAACUCAGAUCCGAAUCGCUAAGCAGACUGGCUGGUUUCAUGACCAAGAAUAAGAAAGAGAGAUGCAAAAAGCCAGCCAUUAAAGCCCAAACAUAAGCAUGGUUUCCUUUUAUUUUCCUGAAUACUUUGUGGGUACAGUUAGUACUCAAGGACUAAUCCCAGGGCCUGCUCCUUGCCAGGUGGUGCCGCCCUGCCAGCAGACUUCCCCUGCACCGCAGCCACGGGGCCCCGUGCUCGCUGCUUGCCAGCGUGCUCCUGCCAUGGCUUCCAGUAGCCACAUUCCAGCCCCAGCCCUUCUCACCACAGCCAACCAGCUCCAGCAGCUCCCCUGCCCUUCUGCCUCGCAAAGGUACCAGCCCUCAGGGCUGAGCUGGUGGGGUGAAGGGGACUAAGGGGAGGGAAAUAAAUAAAAGUCCUGUCUGAAAUGAGCA
rnacentral:lncRNA from 1 species